rnacentral:lncRNA from 1 species
AUGCUGGGUGUAGAUCUCCUGCUUUGGCUAUGUUUAAAUAAGAACAAGCCUACACUACUACUUUCAGAAUAUUUCAGACUUCCUGAAGGCACAACUGCAAAUAAUUAUUUGCCAAGUCAUGAAGUUGGAUCAAUUGUGGGUAAACAUUUUCAAAUGAAAAAAGGCACAAGCAUUACAGCGUGGGGAAGCUUUUGUCACAAAGCAUUUCUGUCCUUUGCUUGAUACCUCACAUGUUUCAUUUCCUGAAGGGCAG